UCAGAAAGAACAAAAACAAAAAAGUCCUAAGCACCACUGAAUAUGGUAUUUUCUUGACUUUUCAGGGACGGCUGAUUUAUUCACCCCUAAUCACUCUUCAGCAUCCACGCAGCUGCAGACUCCUUUGUGUGAGUCUGCCAGUUCAGCUGGUACUCUAUUACCUUGAGAAGACCAGGUCUUUGGAUCCUUUGUCAUACCCUGAAAGGAUGCUGAACAAUCUAUAGAAUCAUGGAAUCAUUAAGGUUGGAAAGACCACUAAAUCAUCUAGUCCAACCAUUGACCCAUGCCUAUGACUGCUCUAGACCACGUCCCUUUGUGCCACAUCUACAUGGUUCUUGAACAUCUCCAGGGACAGUGACUCCACAUGUCUCCGGGCAGCCUGUGCCACUGCCUCACCAUAGGAAACAUCACCUUGCUGUACUGGAUAUGUUUCACCCUGAAUACUCUUCAAGACCCACAUCUUAAAAGGCAGAUCAAGCACUUCAGAGGACCUUACUUUAAAACGCAUGCAUCCAGACAGUCUCUGAACUCCUCUGCAGGGGCUGACCAUGUAGCAGAACCAAGUGUGUCCCUCUUCACUUGUGAGACAAGGGAUCCCUUCUCCUCCUGUCACCUGUGCUGAUAUGUGCCUUUCAUUUCUUCCAGAGAGUAGAAAUUAUUCACAGUUUCAAAAGCUUCUGUAAUGAACAGCUCAUGAUGCAUGCGUGGCCUUUAUGAGGGUAGUAUUUUCUUGAUGAGUUCCCAUGUCUUUUUUACCAGGAGACCAAAAGCAUUUUCAUAGUAGUUAAUUAGAAAAAAAAACAAACACAUGCCACCACUGCAUCUGGUUUAGAUAUUGACUUAACACCAAGCUGGAAAAUGACAGCAUGUGAUUUGCACCUCCCAAACACAUAAUAUUGGUAUGGAUAUUUGUAGUUGGUUGCACACUUUUUUAUGACAAAUUGGAUGUUGUUCAAUUAGAAACCAUCAAGUUCGGAUGUUUGAAAUGCUGACCCAGUGUGGAUUUCCCAUCUGUACCAUUCCCUACAAGGUUGUAAGAAUUUCAGGUUAUGGUGGCAUGAGGUCUCCAGGACACUUCCAAAACCUAAAAACAAAAACAGGCCUCUCAAGUUCUGAAGUUCCCAGCCUGUGACUCGCACCUUCCUUGGCUGUAGAUAAUUUUUUCUGCUUUCUAAAAAUUUUC
rnacentral:lncRNA from 1 species